GGGGGUAUAAGCUCAAUGGUAAACUGCGAGUUUCCAAAACUUGACUUCUAGGUUCGAGUCCUAGUACCCCCGCAA
rnacentral:tRNA from 2 species